rnacentral:rRNA from 1 species
GCGGUGUGCUUAACACAUGCAAGUCGAACGGAAAGGCCCUGCUUUUGUGGGGUGCUCGAGUGGCGAACGGGUGAGUAACACGUGAGUAACCUGCCCUUGACUUUGGGAUAACUUCAGGAAACUGGGGCUAAUACCGGAUAGGAGCUCCUGCUGCAUGGUGGGGGUUGGAAAGUUUCGGCGGUUGGGGAUGGACUCGCGGCUUAUCAGCUUGUUGGUGGGGUAGUGGCUUACCAAGGCUUUGACGGGUAGCCGGCCUGAGAGGGUGACCGGCCACAUUGGGACUGAGAUACGGCCCAGACUCCUACGGGAGGCAGCAGUGGGGAAUAUUGCACAAUGGGCGGAAGCCUGAUGCAGCAACGCCGCGUGCGGGAUGACGGCCUUCGGGUUGUAAACCGCUUUCGCCUGUGACGAAGCGUGAGUGACGGUAAUGGGUAAAGAAGCACCGGCUAACUACGUGCCAGCAGCCGCGGUGAUACGUAGGGUGCGAGCGUUGUCCGGAUUUAUUGGGCGUAAAGGGCUCGUAGGUGGUUGAUCGCGUCGGAAGUGUAAUCUUGGGGCUUAACCCUGAGCGUGCUUUCGAUACGGGUUGACUUGAGGAAGGUAGGGGAGAAUGGAAUUCCUGGUGGAGCGGUGGAAUGCGCAGAUAUCAGGAGGAACACCAGUGGCGAAGGCGGUUCUCUGGGCCUUUCCUGACGCUGAGGAGCGAAAGCGUGGGGAGCGAACAGGCUUAGAUACCCUGGUAGUCCACGCUGUAAACGGUGGGUACUAGGUGUGGGGUCCAUUCCACGGGUUCCGUGCCGUAGCUAACGCUUUAAGUACCCCGCCUGGGGAGUACGGCCGCAAGGCUAGAACUCAAAGGAAUUGACGGGGCCCCGCACAAGCGGCGGAGCAUGCGGAUUAAUUCGAUGCAACGCGUAGAACCUUACCUGGGUUUGACAUGGAUCGGGAGUGCUCAGAGAUGGGUGUGCCUCUUUUGGGGUCGGUUCACAGGUGGUGCAUGGCUGUCGUCAGCUCGUGUCGUGAGAUGUUGGGUUAAGUCCCGCAACGAGCGCAACCCUUGUUCACUGUUGCCAGCACGUUAUGGUGGGGACUCAGUGGAGACCGCCGGGGUCAACUCGGAGGAAGGUGGGGAUGACGUCAAGUCAUCAUGCCCCUUAUGUCCAGGGCUUCACGCAUGCUACAAUGGCUGGUACAGAGAGUGGCGAGCCUGUGAGGGUGAGCGAAUCUCGGAAAGCCGGUCUCAGUUCGGAUUGGGGUCUGCAACUCGACCUCAUGAAGUCGGAGUCGCUAGUAAUCGCAGAUCAGCAACGCUGCGGUGAAUACGUUCCCGGGGCUUGUACACACCGCCCGUCAAGUCAUGAAAGUUGGUAACACCCGAAGCCGGUGGCCUAACCGUUGUGGGGGAGCCGUCGAAGGUGGGACUGGUGAUUAGGACUAA